AAAGAAUCAGAAUCAGAGGAAAAAAUGCUAUGUCUGCCCAUGCCCCUCUGGAGGAAUGGGAAUAGAAUAGCAUCUUUUAUUUACCUUUCCAGUUUCUUUAAGAUGCCAGGGGAAAAAUGAGAACCAAGACCUGUCAUGUAAAGUGGGAAUCUUCAACUUUCUCUCCUCAGAACUGCUUCCUACAAGCUAGAGUUGCACAAAACAUAAUGCAAUGACCACUCCACCUCCUUUCAGGACCUAGGGAUUUUUCAGAGAAAGCUUCUGCCUACUAAGCUGAUCAAGACUGUUGAUGCUGGGAUACUGAAAAAGGAGAAAAUCUACAAGGCCAAGGAAAGAAAGCCAGAGCAACACCACCUUCAACUGGCAGAAUAGGGGACAGUCCCUGGGUAGAGCUGGCACAACAGCAGUUGUCAGAGCUCAAGCCAUCUAACUUGUUUCCUCCAAGAGGGCAGCAUCUCCACCUGGGAAUCCAGGUAGCAGGAGGCUGUGAGAGUUUGGACACCACUGAAGGUGGCCAAGCUGGAAAGUAAAUGAGCCCUAACUCUAGGCCUCUCUGAAGGAGGGGGACUGCUAGGUGGAGGCUCCAUAGGAUCACCCCCAAAAUGUAGUCCAGAUGUGGAGUGAAGAGUCCAAGCCAGAGCAGUAGCAGUGGUUAAGAGAAAAUGGCCAUGAAAAACCAUCCAGGAAUAGCCACACACAGAACUCCAUUUCUGUCUCCUCCUCCAUUUAACCAGAGAUCAAGGGUGGGACAGUGUAAGGAGUAAGGAAAAGCCUGGCCAAAAACUCACCUGUGCUAGAAACAGACUAGAGUUUUCAAGUGGAGGAAAGUAAAUCUUAGUCCUUGAAAGUGACCAGGAAGCUAUAAAAUCUCACUACAGAGUCACUAGACUCUUCCCAGAUGUCUAAGACUGCAGCGCUGGUGCUCUUCUCACUGCUCAGGGGAUGCUGGCCAGGCCACAGCUCCAGUGGUGGACAAGAAAGCAGCAGGGCUGCAGCAGCCACUGAUACUCUAGCAGCAGACAGGCCCAGAGCAAAGAGGACUCCAGGACCACUCGGUCCUGGCCAGUGGAUGAGACACUGUAAUUCCUGUGAACUAACGAACUCUGUAACCUUUGAUAACAGUGCUUGCUAUGAAGCCGUUUUGCUGUUUGCUGAAGGAAUAAAGACAUGCAGCUCUUGAGUUCUGGAGCGGCAGCUCCAACUCUCCUGCCC
rnacentral:lncRNA from 1 species